CAGUCGCCACGGUAAUACGAAGGGGGCUAGCGUUGCUCGGAAUGACUGGGCGUAAAGGGCGCGUAGGCGGCGAUCAAAGUCAGGCGUGAAAUUCCUGGGCUCAACCUGGGGGCUGCGUUUGAUACUUGGUUGCUUGAGUGGGGAAGAGGGUCGUGGAAUUCCCAAUGUAGAGGUGAAAUUCGUAGAUAUUGGGAAGAACACCGGUGGCGAAGGCGGCGACCUGGUCCUUUACUGACGCUGAGGCGCGAAAGCGUGGGGAGCAAACAGGAUAGAUACCCCAGUAGUCCCUGUCUCUUAUACA
rnacentral:rRNA from 1 species